rnacentral:misc_RNA from 1 species
GUGAGUCAUCGAAUCUUUGAACGCACAUUGCGCCCCUUGGUAUUCCAUGGGGCAUGCCUGUUCGAGCGUCAUUUGUACCUUCAAGCUCUGCUUGGUGUUGGGUGUUUGUCUCGCCUCUGCGCGUAGACUCGCCUCAAAACAAUUGGCAGCCGGCGUAUUGAUUUCGGAGCGCAGUACAUCUCGCGCUUUGCACUCAUAACGACGACGUCCAAAAGUACAUUUUUACACUCUUGACCUCGGAUCAGGUAGGGAUACCCGCUGAACUUAAGCAUAUCAAUAAGCGGAGGA